rnacentral:lncRNA from 1 species
CCUGAUUGGACAGUUCACAAGGCCCCGCCCCCUUGUGCCUGAGUGACAGCAGGCCGGGGGCGCAUCUUUGAGCCGACCUUGCCUUGGCCGCAGGCCAGAACCUGUCCUCUGCAAGGACGCUGCAUUGAACCAUGAGGCCGGAGGCCAAGCCCGGAACUGUGACCCUUCCUUGCGCACACAGACACUUCAAAGGGACCUCACCAUAUGUCACAAUGAGCCUGGCUCCGUUUGAUCUUUGACCAUCUCCAGCGGGGAGACCCCCGCCCCCGUCCCCGCUCGCUGGGGUCUUUAAAGGGUCCGGUGGGCUCCGGGCGCCUGGCUGCGGUGGGAGGUUUGAACCCCACAGCCCCAGGGCAGGCCCCAGGCAUCCGGCGCCAGCACGUGUGAAUACUUUUCAAUGCAAUUCCAUUAAUACUCAUUUGUGGAAAUGUCAAAGGAGUGUGUUUUCCACCCACUUCUCCAACCCUCUGACACCAACUGAGUGGCCUAGCAUUCAACUCAAUUCCAACACUGACUAACCAGAGUCAGCAUCAGACUCCACAGUUUAAGGGCUCAGUCCCACAAGAUGCCCCCACGUCAGAGGCCAGCUGCAAAUGGGGGGCCCAGGCUACACACAUUUCUGCAUGGCUGACUCCAAAUUUGGAGGUUCCCUGCACAAGCCCAGAGGUUCCAUAAGUCAGUAGAAUGACUAUCAGAAGUCAGGAAAGAGCUUUUCUUACUAUUUAUUAUCAGUGCAUCGGUAAAGACACAACUCAGGAACAAAUGGAAAGCACGACAGGGCAAAGUAUGGGAGGGGCGACAGGAAGCUUCCACGCCCUCUCCAGGCAUGACGGCCUCCCAGCACACUGAUGUGUUCACCAGCCCCGAAUCUCUCUGAACGCCGAGGUUUGGGAAUUUUGAAGGAGGUUUCUUCACGCAGCCAUGACUGAUUAAAUCACCGGCCAUUGGCGAACAACUCAGUCUCCAGCCCCUCCUCUCCCCAGAGGCUGGGGGUUGAUUGAAAGUUGUAUGCCUCUAAUCAAAGCUUGGUCUUCCUGGCGAUCAAACCCCAUCAUUAAGCUAUCCAGGGGCCCACAAACAGUCACCUCACUGGACAUAAGAUGCUCCCAUCAUCCUUAGCACACAAGAAGCUCCAAGGGCUUUAGGAGGGGUCUUUGCUAGGAACCAGGGCCAAAGACCAACUAUCAUUAUUAUACCAAAGAAGGUCACAGUCCAGGCACACGGGCUCAUUAACAUACUGAGGCCAAAUCAAGGGACUCUAGAACACGUCCGCUCCACCCACAACACAACACUAUAUCAGGAGGACUCCUGUGUGAUAACAGUGGAACACACUGGCAGAACUGCAUGUUUCAAACCUUAUUUAAGAAGCCUCUACAGAACCCAGAGACGACACAGGAGACAACAGCAAGGACACCGGAGGAUAUUUUAGCCUCUGACAACCACAACCAAUAGUAAACACAGUCUAAGCUCUAGUCAGAUAAACAUAAAACCUCACACUAAAGGCCUAUUUACCUCAGCCCCUUUUUCACAGUACAUCCUUUCCAGAAUUCAACAAAAUACCAAAAGGCAUACUAAAGGACUUACAAACACAGUUUGAAGACACAGGACAAGCAAAAGAACCUGAUUUACAUGUAGCAGAUAUGUUGGAAUUAUCAGACUAGAGUUGUAAAGCAACCGUGAUUAAUAUGUUAAGGGCUAUAAUGGAAAUAGUGGGGAACGUGUGAGAACAGAUAGAUAACAGAUGCAGAGAUGGAAACCCUAAGAAAGAGCCAAGUGGGAAAUGCAAAAAAUGAAAAACAAAUAAAAAACCCAGAAAUGAAGAAUUCCUUUGGUGGGGGAGGGCUCAUCCAUACGGCGGAAACGGACGAGAAAGAAUCAGUGAGCUUGAGGAGACGUCACCAGAACCUUCCCAAUUGAAAUGCAAAGAUAAGAACAAGAAAGAACAGGAAACACCAUGCCAACACUAAACUAAAGAAAGCUGAAAUACCUAUAUGAAUUUCAGACAAACAGACUUUAGAGGAAGGAAAACGCAAGAGAGAAAAAGGGUCAUUACAUAACGCUGAAGGCAUCAGUUCUCCAAGAGGAUGAAGCAAUACUUAGUGCGCAUGUGCAUAACAACAGAGGGCCCAAAGACACAAGAAAAACUGAUAGAACAGCAAGGAGACAUGGGUGAAUCCGCUAUCCAAAGACAGAACUUUGGGACAAUUACAAGAAGUGUAACAUACACAAAGUAAUGGGAAUACAUGAAGUAGAAGAAAGCAAGCAACAGCAGAAAUAAGUGACGUCAUAGUGAGUGAGAUUUUCCCCAAGUUAAUGACAGACAGCAAAAUGCAGAUCUAGGAC